rnacentral:rRNA from 1 species
CGGGUGAGUAAUACAUCGGAACGUGUCUUCUAGUGGGGGAUAACUGCCCGAAAGGGCAGCUAAUACCGCAUGAGACCUGAGGGUGAAAGCGGGGGAUCGCAAGACCUUGCGCUGGAAGAGCGGCCGAUGUCCGAUUAGCUAGUUGGUGAGGUAAAGGCUCACCAAGGCGACGAUCGGUAGCUGGUCUGAGAGGACGACCAGCCACACUGGGACUGAGACACGGCCCAG